GGGAAUGUGGCUUAGUGAUAGAGUGCUUGCCUAGCAUGCAUGAAACCCUGGGUUCGAUUCCUCAGUACCA
rfam:Dipodomys ordii contig_67937, whole genome shotgun sequence.